rnacentral:rRNA from 1 species
UAACGACGUCGGAGUAACCUUACGCCGUUACCGUAACCUACGGGGUAGGUAACUAACUAGUAAUAGAGUGCUAAUACCGCAUAAGCGCACAGAGCCGCAUGGCUCAGUGUGAAAAACUUCGGUGGUGUAAGAUGGAUCCGCGUCUGAUUAGCUGGUUGGCGGGGUAGAAGCCCACCAAGGCGACGAUCAGUAGCCGGCCUGAGAGGGUGAACGGCCACAUUGGGACUGAGACACGGCCCAAACUCCUACGGGAGGCAGCAG